GGUUCUCAGACCCAUACUCAAAAAGAGACGAAAAUUGACGUAAUCAUGAUGCGUUCAGUAAAAAAUAGACCCUCAACGAGCGAAAAAUCGUAGAGUCGAGGCAAUUCGGCCACGGAAUGCCCAAAACGGCCUUUAUCGAUACCCCUCAGUCAGUUUUCAGAUAGAUCUUCUUAAUUCUUACGAAUCUAAAGUUUGAGCCAUCAAAACAUGAUUCUGUGUCCAGCAGAACAGACCCGUUGUUAGCUAACAACUGCGGGCUGAUUGUUGAAAUGGAUACACAAAGCUAUAGACAAAGGAGACAAUAGGGGUGUGGAGGGAUUCUAUUGGUGGAAGCUAGUGGAUGUCAUGGACAACGGAGGUAGGUAAUAAAUUGACUAACGACAACCUAUGAGGGACCCUAUCGUCAGUCCAUCAUUAACCCUCUUAGUCCAUAAUAACCAUCCGUUUCAACUAACAGGAUCCCUCCAUACUUCCUGUCUUUUUUGUGUACAGCGCUGUCCAUCAAUUUCAACAAUCAACCCGCUCCAUAAGAAAAGCUAUGGACAAAGAGGACAUAAGGAGUAUGGAGCGAUCCUAUUGGCUAAAGUGGGUGCGGUUCUUAUCGAAAUGAUGGACUGACUAACCAUCGGGCCUCCUGUGAGUUGCCGUUAGUCUAUUACUUACGUCCUCUCGCCAUUGCAACCACCCGCUUCCACCGAUAGGAUCUCUCCAUAUCUUUUUGUCAACAAUCAGCCCGCUGGCCAACUAAUGGAGGCUAGGUUUUCCUUGGGCGCAUGACUCGGUGCGCCUUGGGAGUGUGAGCCCUGACCCAAGGCGGGGGGUGGGGGGUGCCAUCGGGGUUGUGAUUGGCAUUGAGGUUGAGGUUGACGUUGACGUUGACGUUGCGAUUCCCUGAUGACGUAGAGCGGGCGACGGAGUGUCCGGACGCAAGUGGCGGCGGCGGCGGCGGGCCGGCCAGCGGCCAAGUGGACGACGUCUACCAAGUGCUGAAGCAGGCGGGGGAGAUCUCAGGGACGGGCGCAGGGGCCGGCCUGGGGCCCGGGCGCCCCAUCCCCCCGAGGAGCCCGGCCACUGGCGGCGACCUCUCCUCCCUGAAACGGACCAACCAACCCCCCUCCCUCCUCCGUGGACCCUCCUCGCUCAGUGUCGUCGCUCCGCCCAUCGCCUCCAGCUCAGAACAAUUGCAGUACGCCUCGGGAACUCGGCCGUUCGGUCAACCCUUGGUUCUCGGUGGCGGAGAAAUAAUUCAAGAGAACGAAAUCGCAGUGGAUCCCAGACAUAACAGAUCUUCUGGUGGUGGCACAUCAAAGAGGUCCUGAUUGGUUCGCCGGCUAAAUUUUCGCUGAGUUCAUUCUCCUCCGGAAGAUGGAUGUAUACUGGAAGUAAGCAAACAUCGAGAAUAAAACAAAUGAAACUGAUCGCAAAUGAAAUUUAAGGCAAAAGACACUUCCAUUGCGCUUAUUUUCCAGUAUAAAAAGUACCGAAAUUGUGGUGUUAAUAUGAGAAAUAGGCUUUCUUUGGGGAAAAUUGACCAAAGUUUUGUGUCAAAAAUUUGCAAUUUCGUUUAAAAUCAGAACCUGGAUCGCAUUAGUGAUAGCUCAAAUCGCCAAUCACUCCCCAAAUAUCAUUUUUCAACGGAGAUAUCGCGAUGUCUUUUAAUCAAGUUGCGAUUUUGUUAUGAUAUCUUGGCGUUAUCUUCGAUCUUUUCACAAUUUUAUCUCUAUUAAAACGCGUUCAAAAAAAUCGGAAUUCUAUCUCGAUUUAUAACGAUUUUUUGGUCAAAAAUAUUGCGAUAAAUCGCCGUCGAUGAAAUCGCGAUUUUAUUGCAUAUUUAUGCGAUAAAAUCGCAAUUUAGUGCAUUUUUAUCUGAUAAUAUCGCAAUAAAUCGAGGUCGAUAAAAUCGCGAUACAUUCUCCGAUCAAAUCGCAACUUUUCGCGAUCACUGCUACUUGGGUGGCAAGUCGCAACCGCUAAUUUAAGGAGAAAUAAUAGUACAUUAAUUCAGCAAGACACUAUCCUCAUCAGUGGCGUGGCGUGAAUUGCGAUGUAUCGAUUGUAUGUCAUUUAAACCUAUGGUAAAGAAUCGAUUAUUAAGGUGUUCGCUGCGAACACCUUGUUUAUCGAUCCUUUUCCAUAGGUUUAAAUGACAGAUCAAUCGAUACAUCGCAAAACACGCCAUGCCACUGAUUCUCUCUCCCCAGUUGUCUCAGAGUCCUCGUUUUCUGAAGAUUUAACCAAAAUUUGGUAGAUCACCAAGUUUUUUUGUUCGAGCUGACCGAGAA
rnacentral:lncRNA from 1 species